ensembl:lncRNA
UUAUCCUAGCUUCAGGGUCACGGGGAACCUGGAGACUAUCCCAGGGAGCAUCGGGCACAAGGCGGGGUACACCCUGGACAGGGUGCCAAUCCAUCGCAGGGCACAAUCACAUACACACUCACACACCCAUUCAUACACUACGGACACUUUGGACACGCCAAUCAUCCUACCGUGCAUGUCUUUGGACUGGGGGAGGAAACCGGAAGGAAACCCCCGCAGCACGGGGAGAACAUGCA